rnacentral:rRNA from 1 species
AACGCGAAGAACCUUACCCAGGUUUGACAUACAGAGGAAGACAGUAGAAAUAUUGUUGCCCGCGAGGGUCUCUGAACAGGUGCUGCAUGGCUGUCGUCAGCUCGUGCCGUGAGGUGUUGGGUUAAGUCCCGCAACGAGCGCAACCCUUAUCACUAGUUGCCAGCACGUUAUGGUGGGAACUCUAGUGAGACUGUCCGGGUUAACCGGGAGGAAGGUGAGGAUGACGUCAAGUCCGCAUGGCCCUUAUAUCUGGGGCUACACACGUGCUACWAUGGUCGGUACAGAGGGUUGCCAAGCCGCGAGGUGGAGCUAAUCCCACAAAACCGAUCGUAGUCCGGAUCGCAGUCUGCAACUCGACUGCGUGAAGUCGGAAUCGCUAGUAAUCGCGAAUCAGAAUGUCGCGGUGAAUACGUUCCCGGGUCUUGUACACACCGCCC